UACAGAGGGUGCGAGCGUUAAUCGGAAUUACUGGGCGUAAAGCGUGCGUAGACGGUAGCGUAAGUCAGAUGUGAAAGCCCCGGGCUCAACCUGGGAACUGCAUUUGAGACUGCUCUGCUCGGGUGCGGAAGAGGGAAGCGGAAUUUCCGGCGUAGCGGUGAAAUGCGUAGAUAUCGGAAGGAACACCAGUGGCGAAAGCGGCUUCCUGGUCCGACACCGACGUUCAGGCACGAAAGCGUGGGGAGCAAACAGG
rnacentral:rRNA from 1 species